rnacentral:rRNA from 1 species
CCUACGGGAGACAGCAGUGAGGAAUAUUGGUCAAUGGACGAGAGUCUGAACCAGCCAAGUAGCGUGAAGGAUGACUGCCCUAUGGGUUGUAAACUUCUUUUAUAUGGGAAUAAAAUGUUCCACGUGUGGGAUUUUGUAUGUACCAUAUGAAUAAGGAUCGGCUAACUCCGUGCCAGCAGCCGCGGUAAUACGGAGGAUCCGAGCGUUAUCCGGAUUUAUUGGGUUUAAAGGGAGCGUAGGUGGAUUGUUAAGUCAGUUGUGAAAGUUUGCGGCUCAACCGUAAAAUUGCAGUUGAAACUGGCAGUCUUGAGUACAGUAGAGGUGGGCGGAAUUCGUGGUGUAGCGGUGAAAUGCUGAGAUAUCACGAAGAACUCCGAUUGCGAAGGCAGUUCACUGGACUGCAACUGACACUGAGGCUCGAAAGUGCGGGUAUCAAACAGGAUUAGAUACCCGAGUAGUC